UGAGGAAUAUUGCACAAUGGACGCAAGUCUGAUGCAGCAACGCCGCGUGGAGGAUGACGGCCCUUGGGUUGUAAACUCCUUUUUUCAGGGAAGAGAAUGGACGGUACCUGAAGAAUAAGUCACGGCUAACUACGUGCCAGCAGCCGCGGUAAUACGUAGGUGGCGAGCGUUAUCCGGAAUUACUGGGCGUAAAGCGCACGCAGGCGGUCUUUUAAGUUUGACGUGAAAGCUCUCGGCUUAACUGGGAGAGGUCGUUGAAGACUGGAAGGCUUGAGGCAAUGAGAGGGGUGUAGAAUUCCCGGUGUAGUGGUGGAAUGCGUAGAUAUCGGGGGGAAUACCAGUGGCGAAAGCGGCACCCUAGCGUUAGCCUGACGCUCAUGUGCGAAAGCGUGGGGAGCGAACGGG
rnacentral:rRNA from 1 species